rnacentral:rRNA from 1 species
UCGCGGAAUGUGGUGUUUAGGAGGACCGUGCGCGUCUGUCCGGUAUCGUCCAAGUCUCCAUGAAUGGGGCCANCAACCCAGAGAGGGUGUCAGGCCCGUGGGACNAGCCGCGACCGUGUAUUGGGUCUCUCCUUAGAGUCGGGUUGCUUGAGAGUGCAGCCCUAAGCGGGAGGUAAACUCCUUCUAAGGCUAAAUACGGCCACNAGACCGAUAGCNAACAAGUACCGCGAGGGAAAGUUGAAAAGAACUUUGAAGAGAGAGUUCAAUAGUGCGUGAAACCGUUCAGGGGGUUAAACGGGUGGGCCCUCGAAGGUCGAACGCCCCCUACUCCUGUUCCUGUAGGCUGGCACGUGCUGCUUUCCGAUCUCGCUACGAGACGGGGCUUGGUGCGGUAUGCCGGACUGCAGGGGCCGCUAGUUAGGGGGCCAGUAGGACUCCGCAACCGGCUGGGUCAAGUCGUCAGAAGGGUUCUGGAGGAAGCCUCCUCUGGGGGUGAAAUCCGGGAUUCCGGGCGAUCUUCCCGGCCGUGAACCAGAAUUCCCCCGUCUGGCGUCUGGGACGAGUUUGCUGCGUUAAAAACACGAACUGUCGGUUCUGGGCGUCACCGUGGGGACACCGCGGAGAGUAGAGUCGGGUCCCACCCGACCCGUCUUGAAACACGGACCAAGGAGUCUAACAUGUGCGCGAGUCGUCGGGUACUAUUAAACCCGAAGGCGCAAUGAAAGUGAAGACUGUGCCUCGUCGCCGGUCUAGGGGAGAUCCCGU